GAUGGCGACCGGCGCACGGGUGAGUAACACGUAUCCAACCUGCCGAUGACUCGGGGAUAGCCUUUCGAAAGAAAGAUUAAUACCCGAUGGCAUAGUUCUUCCGCAUGGUAGAACUAUUAAAGAAUUUCGGUCAUCGAUGGGGAUGCGUUCCAUUAGUUUGUUGGCGGGGUAACGGCCCACCAAGACUACGAUGGAUAGGGGUUCUGAGAGGAAGGUCCCCCACAUUGGAACUGAGACACGGUCCAAACUCCUACGGGAGGCAGCAUG
rnacentral:rRNA from 1 species